AACGCACGAGACCUGCGGACCUGCGGAGGGAUCAUUAACAAAUUUGUUGAGUAUGUACAAUUGUGAACAGGCCAGAGUUUGUAUCUGAAGAAGCAUUUGUGUUGCUGAAUAUUUGUGUAGCAGAUAAGCAAUUAUUUGUGUAGCUAAAGAAGCAGAUGAGCAAUUAUUUGUCUAGCUAAAUAAGCAAUUAUUUGUGUAGCUAAAUAUUUGUCUAGCUGAAUAAGCAAAUUCACUACAAAA
rnacentral:misc_RNA from 1 species